rnacentral:rRNA from 1 species
CCUACGGGCGACAGCAGUAGGGAAUCUUCCACAAUGGGCGAAAGCCUGAUGGAGCAACGCCGCGUGGGUGAAGAAGGUCUUCGGAUCGUAAAACCCUGUUGUUAGAGAAGAAAGUGCGUGAGAGUAACUGUUCACGUUUCGACGGUAUCUAACCAGAAAGCCACGGCUAACUACGUGCCAGCAGCCGCGGUAAUACGUAGGUGGGAAGCGUUAUCCGGAUUUAUUGGGCGUAAAGGGAACGCAGGCGGUCUUUUAAGUCUGAUGUGAAAGCCUUCGGCUUAACCGGAGUAGUGCAUUGGAAACUGGGAGACUUGAGUGCAGAAGAGGAGAGUGGAACUCCAUGUGUAGCGGUGAAAUGCGUAGAUAUAUGGAAGAACACCAGUGGCGAAAGCGGCUCUCUGGACUGUAACUGACGCUGAGGUUCGAAAGCGUGGGUAGCAAACAGGAUUAGAUACCCUAGUAGUC